CAAAGGAGCAAUCCGCUGAGAGAUGGGCUCGCGUCCAAUUAGGUAGAUGGCGGGGUAGAGGCCCACCAUGCCGACGAUUGGUAGCCGGACUGAGAGGUUGAACGGCCACAUUGGGACUGAGACACGGCCCAGACUCCUACGGGAGGCAGCAGUGGGGAAUAUUGGGCAAUGGGGGAAACCCUGACCCAGCGACGCCGCGUGAGGGAAGAAGGUUUUCGGAUUGUAAACCUCUGUCCUUGGUGACGAUAAUGACGGUAGCCAAGGAGGAAGCCACGGCUAACUACGUGCCAGCAGCCGCGGUAAUACGUAGGUGGCGAGCGUUGUCCGGAAUUACUGGGUGUAAAGGGAGCGUAGGCGGGAGAGCAAGUCGACUGUGAAAUCUAUGGGCUUAACCCAUAGCUGCGAUCGAAACUGUUCAUCUUGAGUGAAGUAGAGGCAGGCGGAAUUCCUAGUGUAGCGGUGAAAUGCGUAAAUAUUAGGAGGAACACCAGUGGCGAAGGCGGCCUGCUGGGCUUUAACUGACGCUGAGGCUCGAAAGCGUGGGUAGCAAACAGGAUUAGAUACCCUGGUAGUCCACGCUGUAAACGAUGAUUACUAGGUGUGGGGGGACUGACCCCUUCC
rnacentral:rRNA from 1 species